CCUACGGGAGGCAGCAGUGGGGAAUAUUGCGCAAUGGGCGAAAGCCUGACGCAGCGACGCCGCGUGAGGGAUGAAGGUCUUCGGAUCGUAAACCUCUGUCAGCAGGGAAGAACGGUCACUGUGCUAAUCAGCAGUGAAUUGACGGUACCUGCAAAGGCAGCACCGGCUAACUCCGUGCCAGCAGCCGCGGUAAUACGGAGGGUGCGAGCGUUAAUCGGAAUUACUGGGCGUAAAGCGCUCGUAGGCGGUAUGUCAAGUCAAGGGGGAAAUCCCCGCGCUCAACGUGGGAACUGCCUUUGAAACUGGCAAACUGGAGUGUGUGAGAGGAUAGUGGAAUUCCAGGUGUAGGAGUGAAAUCCGUAGAUAUCUGGAGGAACAUCAGUGGCGAAGGCGACUAUCUGGCACAUAACUGACGCUGAGGAGCGAAAGCGUGGGUAGCAAACAGGAUUAGAUACCCGGGUAGUC
rnacentral:rRNA from 1 species